UCCCUGGUGGCUCAGAGGUUAAAGCGUCUGCCUACAAUGCUGGAGACCUGGGUUCAAUCCCUGGGUUGGGAA
rnacentral:tRNA from 1 species